GGGUUUUAAACUUCGAAGCAACGCGAAGAACCUUUACCAGGUCUUGACAUCCCGAUGCUUAUUUCUAGAGAUAGAAAGUUACUUCGGUACAUCGGUGACAGGUGGUGCAUGGUUGUCGUCAGCUCGUGUCGUGAGAUGUUGGGUUAAGUCCCGCAACGAGCGCAACCCCUAUUGUUAGUUGCCAUCAUUCAGUUGGGCACUCUAGCGAGACUGCCGGUAAUAAACCGGAGGAAGUGGGGAUGACGUCAAAUCAUCAUGCCCCUUAUGACCUGGGCUACACACGUGCUACAAUGGUUGGUACAACGAGUUGCGAGUCGGUGACGGCGAGCUAAUCUCUUAAAGCCAAUCUCAGUUCGGAUUGUGGGCUGCAACUCGCCUACAUGAAGUCGGAAUCGCUAGUAAUCGCGGAUCAGCACGCCGCGGUGAAUACGUUCCCGGGCCUU
rnacentral:rRNA from 1 species